rnacentral:lncRNA from 1 species
GGCCCUGAGUACUGGGUCUGCACCUUAAGGGGCCAGAGCUUGAAUUGGUGUGGCAUCUGCUGCCAUUCAGGGCAGCUCCUGUCUGAUUUUUUUGUCUUUGCAUGUUUGUCUAGAAUUGGGUUUAUGUGAAUGAUGAUGGAUCUGACUCUGCAUGGCCUAAGUCUCUGCGCAUCUCCUGUAGUGCUCCAGCUGUGAGCUCCUCUGUGUUUGGUGCUGUUUAAUUCCUCUGGGAUACAGAGGUAUCCAAAAGGCUGGUGACUCACCUGGCAGGAAUAAUCAGCACUUCUGCAGUGCAUGUCCCUCGGGAGGGUGGCUCUGUCUCCCUUAACACUGCUGGAGCACACUGCCUGUGGCUUUUGAGGGCUAUCUUGGGUGGCACUGCUAGGGUGUCUUGGUGUUGGCUGCUGCCUACUUGGCGCUGGGCUCUGGGCAUUCACUGCACUCGUGCUUUUCCGUCUCUGACAGUUCACCUCUGGGGGACAGAGGAGGUUGCUGCCUGGCUGGAGCACCUCAGUCUCUGUGAGUAUAAGGACAUCUUCACGCGGCACGACAUCCGGGGCUCCGAGCUCCUGCACCUGGAGCGGAGGGACCUCAAGGUACUUCACAGGUGUCUUCCCAGAACCCACACCUGCACUUUACACACUUCUUUCAACUAUGUCCUCUUCCCUGACUGUGUCCUAGCAUCACUGGUCAUCAGUUUUUCUUUUUGUGUAUCCCAGGGUACACAGGUCUUUGCCUUUUAUUGAUGACGACCUCCCUUGAUACAAAUAAGCAAGGCCAGGUGCAGACAUGAUGGGAGAAGCCUUGAUUCUCUUAGCCACAAAAGGAACUGUCUUAACCUUAGAAGCUAGGGGAUGCUUCCCUGUGGUCACUAGUUCAGCUGAAAAGUUCUAGGGUCUAGUGGUUGGUGGGCCACCCUGCUCCACAGUGAGUGAAGAUGAAGAGUCUGCUUUCUCAAGGCUGGUCUCACAGACAACCACUUGGCUCCUGGGCAGCUGCUGCCACUUCACCUCACAGGGAGAAGGGUCAGGUGGUUCAUCCUCCCAUCCCUGUGCAUGUGUGGUCAGUUCUGCACCCAUUGCACUGGACUCACAUCGCCAAGCCCUGGCCUGCUUGGUCUUGCAGAGCGGUCUCUGGGCAUUGCUUCUGGUUGUGUCCAAAGGUAAAAAAAAAAAAAAAAA